AUACUUAUCUUUUUUCUAGUACAUCCUGUCCUCAGGCUUAGACAGUGUUGUCAAGUUGUGGGAACUGUCAACAGGACGCUGUCUCAUCGCCUACACUGGUGCUGGAUCAGUUGGUCGUCAGGAACACAGUGCCCAUGCAAUGUUCAACCACACGGAGGAUUUUGUGAUGUUCCCUGAUGAAGCAACAACUUCAUUGUGUGCCUGGGAUGCUUUCAAUGCUCAGCGUAAAAAUUUACUCUCCCUAGGUCAUAAUGGACCAGUGAGACACAUGGUUCAUUCUCCGUGUUCACCAGCAUUCAUCACCUGUUCUGAUGACUAUCGAGCAAGAUUUUGGUAUCGAAGAAAUGUUCAUUGAUAUGUCUCUGUAACUUGUAAUGAGAAAUAAUUGUCAUUAAUCAUGGGGGAAGAGGAAGGAUGAGAAUAAUAUUUUUAUCAUCACUAAUUAAAGCUUAAAAAAUUCUUGAUUUAGUAUAUUACAGUAUAUUUUGCAUUCAAUUGAAGACACAAGGGACCAUUUUUAAGUACAAAUUUGGUCUUCAUUUUUAAUAAAAUUAUACUACAUUUAAUUUUUAUGACUUGAAUGCAGUUCAUGAAAUCUUGAGGCAUUUUCAAGUACCCAGGUAAAGGUAAACCACUUACUGGUACUCUGUAGGUGGGAGUGUAUAAGUAUUGCCCUUGUGCCAGUGUAUUAUUAUUGUAGUUCACAUGUUCUCAAUAAAAAUUGAUUAUAA